rnacentral:rRNA from 1 species
AUGCGGCGGCGCGGGAACAAUAUCCGUGUCCUCUGCGUGGAUGGCGCGGAAGUGGUCGCGCACAACGGCAAGGCCGAGGCGCUGCGCGAGUUCUACGCCGCCCUCCUCGGGCGCCACAGCCGUGCCACCUGGGGGUUCGACCUCGACAUCCUCUACACCAAUGCCCCCUGGGUGGACGCCGCGGCGCUCGUCGCUCCCUUCGGCCGCGCUGAGAUCAAGACUGCGGUGGCCCAGCUCGACGGUGCCAGCGCGCGCGGACCAGACGACCUCGGUCCGGCCUUCUACCAGGCUGCGUGGCCUGCUGUCGAGCAGGAUCUUCAGGCCCUGUUCGACGCCUUCCACUCGCGGGCGGCGGCGUUGGACGGGAUUAACAGGGCGUUCAUCGCUCUCCUUCCAAAAAAGGAUGGGGUCCCCACUCCCGGCCACUUCCGUCCCGUCUCCCUGCAGAACGAUGAUGUCAAGAUCCUCUAUCGUGGUCUCACGACUCGGCUGCAACAUCAGAUUGGAGCGCUCAUCGAUGAAGACCAGUCCGGCUUCCUAGCUGGACGAAGCAUCUCGGAGAACUUCGCCUAUGCCGCUGAGCUCGUCCAGCUCUGUCACCGCCGCUCUACGCCGACCAUCGUCCUCAAGCUCGACUUUGCGAAGGCUUUCGACUCCAUCGACUGGGGAAGCCUUCGCCGGAUCAUGCUGGCCCGCGGCUUCCCUACGCUGUGGUGCGACUGGAUGGAUGAUAUCUUCCACUCCUCCCGAUCUGCGGUCCUCCUCAACGGCGUCCCGGGGAGCUGGUUCGACAUCACCUGUGGCCAGCGGCAAGGGGACCCCAUCUCUCCUUACCUCUUCCUCCUCGUCGCCGACGUCCUUCAACGCUUGAUCCGGCACGACGAGAACCUCAUGCACCCCCUGUCAGAUGGCGCGCCCCCCGUCGUGCUCUAG